rnacentral:rRNA from 1 species
GCAGCUACGAUUGUCUAGGAUUAGCCAUGCAUGUCUAAGUAUAAACAACUAUUUACUGUAAAACUGCGUACAGCUCAUUAUAUCAGCAAUAAUUUAUUUGAUGGCGAAUUUCUACUUGGAUAACCGUGGAAAUUCUAGAGCUAAUACAUGCGUAAAGCUGGAACUCUCACGGGAACCGGUGUAUUUAUUAGAUAAAAAGCCAAUGCAGGCCUCUGGUAUGGAACAUUGGUGAUUCAUAAUAACUUUUCAAAUCGCAUAGCCUAGUGCUGGCGAUAGUUCAUUCAAAUUUCUGCCCUAUCAGCUUUACGGUAGCGUAGUGAACUACCGUGGCGUUAACGGGUGACGGGGAAUUAGGGUUCUAUUCCGGAGAGGGAGCCUGAGAAACGGCUACCACAUCCAAGGAAGGCAGCAGGCGCGUAAAUUACCCAAUCCUCAAACGGGGAGGUAGUGACGAAAAAUAACAAUACGAGACUCAUCCGAGGCUUCGUAAUUGGAAUGGGUACACUUCAAAUCCUUUAACGAGGAACAAUUGGAGGGCAAGUCUGGUGCCAGCAGCCGCGGUAAUUCCAGCUCCAAUAGCGUAUAUUAAAGUUGCUGCGGUUAAAAAGCUCGUAGUUGGAUCUCAGUCUCGGGCGGACGGUCCAUUUUACGAUGGUACUGUCCGAAUCGGACAUUUGGCCGCCUUUCCCAGUAUGCUCUUCACUGAGUGUGCUGGGAGAGUGGCACGUUUACUUUGAAAAAAUUAGAGUGCUCAAAGCAGGCUCUUGCCUGAAUCUUCGUGCAUGGAAUGAUGGAAUAUGGCCUUGGUUCUAUUUUGUUGGUUUCCGGAACUCGAGGUAAUGAUUAAGAGGGACAGACGGGGGGCAUUCGUAUUGCGACGUUAGAGGUGAAAUUCUUGGAUCGUCGCAAGACGGACGACUGCGAAAGCAUUUGCCAAGAAUGUUUUCAUUAAUCAAGAACGAAAGUUAGAGGUUCGAAAGGCGAUCAGAUACCGCCCUAGUUCUAACCGUUAACGAUGCCAACUAGCGAUCCGCUGGCGUUAAACAACGACCUAGCGGGCAGCUUCCCGGGAA